rnacentral:tRNA from 1 species
GGGGAAUUGGUGCAGAGGGAGCACGUUUGACUGGCAGUCAAAAGGUCACGGGUUCGAAUCCCGUAUUCUCCA